rnacentral:lncRNA from 1 species
AGCCGCCGGACAAGGGGAAAAGAGCUCGGGGGGCGGGUUCGGCACCAUUCAUAUUCUUCCGCUCGGUAGGAGGUGGAGGACACGACCCUCAACCGUUGCUCCUGUAGCUUCCGAGUCCUGGUGGUGUCGGCCAAGUUCGAGGGGAAACCGCUGCUUCAGAGACACAGGCUGGUGAACGCGUGCCUAGCAGAAGAGCUCCCGCACAUCCAUGCCUUUGAACAGAAAACCCUGACCCCAGACCAGUGGGCACGUGAGCGACAGAAAUGAGGGACUGGGAUCUGCACAGCCAUUAAAUUAUAAAUCUGGA